UACGUAGGGGGCUAGCGUUGUCCGGAAUCAUUGGGCGUAAAGCGCACGUAGGCGGCUUUGUAAGUUAGAGGUGAAAGCCCGGAGCUCAACUCCGGAACUGCCUUUAAGACUGCAUCGCUUGAAUCCAGGAGAGGUGAGUGGAAUUCCGAGUGUAGCGGUGAAAUGCGUAGAUAUUGGGAGGAACACCAGUGGCGAAGGCGGCUCACUGGACCGGAACUGACGCUGAGGCGCGAAAGCGUGGGGAGCAAACAGG
rnacentral:rRNA from 1 species